GGAAAAGAAACUAACAAGGAUUCCCCUAGUAACGGCGAGUGAAGUGGGAAAAGCUCAACUUUGAAAUCUGGUACUUUCAGUAUCCGAAUUGUAGUCUCAAGAAGUGUUUUCUGUGCCGGUCCAUGUAUGAGUCUGUUGGAACACAGCGUCAUAGAGGGUGACAACCCCGUUCAUGACAUGGAUCCCGGUGCUUUGUGAUACACUCUCGAAGAGUCGAGUUGUUUGGGAAUGCAGCUCAAAUUGGGUGGUAAAUUCCAUCUAAAGCUAAAUAUUGGCGAGAGACCGAUAGCAAACAAGUACCGUGAGGGAAAGAUGAAAAGCACUUUGGAAAGAGAGUUAACAGUACGUGAAAUUGUUGAAAGGGAAACGAUUGAAGUCAGACGUGCGUGAUGCGGUUCAGCUUUAGUUCGCUAGAGUGUACUCCGUAUCUUUGCAGGCCAGCAUCGGUUUUGUUAGUCGGAUAAAGGUUUGAGAAAUGUGGCAUCUUCGGAUGUGUUAUAGUCUCAGACUGAAUACGAUUGAUGGGACCGAGGAACGCAGCGCGCCGCAAGGCAAAGGUUCCGACCUUUUCGCGCUUAGGAUGCUGGUGAAAUGGCUUUAAACGACCCGUCU
rnacentral:rRNA from 1 species